UAUUCAUGAGUCAUGAUAUUUACCCUCCCGUUGAAAAUUCCUGGACACACCGCUAUACAUCAUCGUUUUGUUUCUAAAAAAAUAAUAAAUAAUAAUAUUUUUCGACGAUUUUUUGAUACUUCUAUUUGAAUUGAAAACAUCCAUUGGUUGGUACAUAAAACAAAAACUGUUUGAAAAAUCUAAAAAUAACCUCUCUAAAGUACCAACUUGAUAAAGAUUCCUGAUAGAAUUUUCGUACACAGUAUUAAAAAAAAAUCCAUACAUUCCUUGCUCCGCUCAUGGUCUAAAACGAUUGGAAAGGAAGUUGAAACCCCCAAAAGGAACAUCCUCGAUACCAUACACUCUAACCCCGUAAUAACACGAUGACGUCAAUCAAAAUUUAAUCCAUCCAUAAAACAACAUUAAUUCACGAGUUUAAGCUCAUUUUGUCCGGAAGGAGCCGCUUAAAGCGUCCCAAACUAGCGGGAGAAACACG